rnacentral:rRNA from 1 species
AAUAGAUACCCAGGUAGUCCACGCCGUAAACGAUGAGUGCUAAGUGUUAGAGGGUUUCCGCCCUUUAGUGCUGAAGUUAACGCAUUAAGCACUCCGCCUGGGGAGUACGGCCGCAAGGCUGAAACUCAAAGGAAUUGACGGGGGCCCGCACAAGCGGUGGAGCAUGUGGUUUAAUUCGAAGCAACGCGAAGAACCUUACCAGGUCUUGACAUCCUCUGACAACCCUAGAGAUAGGGCCUCUCCUUCGGGAGCAGAGUGACAGGUGGUGCAUGGUUGUCGUCAGCUCGUGUCGUGAGAUGUUGGGUUAAGUCCCGCAACGAGCGCAACCCUUGAUCUUAGUUGCCAUCAUUAAGUUGGGCACUCUAAGGUGACUGCCGGUGACAAACCGGAGGAAGGUGGGGAUGACGUCAAAUCAUCAUGCCCCUUAUGACCUGGGCUACACACGUGCUACAAUGGACGGUACAAAGAGCUGCAAGACCGCGAGGUGGAGCUAAUCUCAUAAAACCGUUCUCAGUUCGGA